UACGUAGGGCGCAAGCGUUGUCCGGAAUUAUUGGGCGUAAAGAGCUCGUAGGCGGUCUGUCGCGUCUGUUGUGAAAACUCGAGGCUCAACCUCGGGCUUGCAGUGGAUACGGGCAGACUAGAGUGCGGUAGGGGAGACUGGAAUUCCUGGUGUAGCGGUGGAAUGCGCAGAUAUCAGGAGGAACACCGAUGGCGAAGGCAGGUCUCUGGGCCGCAACUGACGCUGAGGCGCGAAAGCGUGGGGAGCAAACAGG
rnacentral:rRNA from 1 species